AGUUGUAUCUUCUGCACCAUUUCGAGUCUUCCUGCUCCCAUCUCUUACUCCAGCCACUGCUGCAAGAACUCAUUUUGGAUAUGACCAUUGCUUUUCCUGGCAAAGACGCUGGUCCUUGUCGCCUCUGCAGCACAUCGGUAAACAGUGGAGGGAAACGACCCCCUUGGAGAAAGCCGGGGCUUUUACUGGGUGGGCCAUGGCCCGUGGAGGGGACUCCAUGGACUCUGAACCGGAGACCACCUAGCACCCUGGGGCCUCCUCAGAGAGAGCUGGAGCUCCUUCCUCUGGGCAGCACCUGGGUCCAAGCCGCAGCCUCUGUGGUCUCUGCCCCUGCGGUCAAAGAAAGAGAGCAAAUAACCUAUUUUCCGUAGGUCCCUCUGCCAACAACCACCACCGAGGAAACACCCAAGGUUAUGGAGGGUUAGUUGUCCACCUUAUUAAAACUUCACACACUGGGUAGCUCUUAGCUCUCUGGUUAGAUUCCUGGCUCCACCCCUGACCAGCUUUGUGACCUGGGAAAAAGCAACAUCUCAAAUUCUCAGUUUGCUUAUCUGUCAAAGGAAGGGCCGAGCACCAAACUGGCAGAGUCAGCCUUGAGUGGGCGCUAAGACUGUGCCAACAAAGACUGGUCACCCAUCGUCACCGGCUCCUCCUCCCUCUUCUGCUCUUCUGUCUCAGCCUUUUGGUUCCAGCCUUCAGGGCUCUGUCUGACUUCAUUAUUUGUUCUUAAGUCUGUUCUUUCCAUAAGUAUGAAAGAGAGAAAGUGAAAUGAGUCGAGAAACCAUCUCUAAGGAAUGAUCACUCUUUGAACAGUCCCACUGGGAACCUGGAAGACCCCCACGUUCCUUUUCUCUGGGCUGUUAUGCUGUCCUCCUAAAAGCGAGGCACAUACACUGUUUCGAAUGCGUCCCUCAGCUCUCCGCCCGUGCUGGGGCUGACCGGCCUGUGGGACUAUGUAUGGCAGGUGGCAGGUUUGCGUGGCUUCUCAGACCCUGCCCAGGCUCGGAGGACUGGCCCCAGGGAGGGAGACAGGGGCAGGGAUGUGAGUUUUUGCAGGUCCAAGGCCCUCGUGUCUGUCGAAAACCGUAUUUGGGGUUUACUUUGAACAAAGCCCAGGACUCCAAAAAUCCCUGCUGCUAUGCUUCCAGAGCUGCCUCUCCUUUGCUCGGGUGUAAGCUUGUAACGGAAAAGAAACCAAGAGUCACCAACAUAUCUUUCUUCCCAGGAAUCCUUUGGAUUUGGGAGAUGGGGCUCCGUAUAGCAGAUCCCAAGGAACCAUCCUUUCUUCGUUUCCUUUUACGAACACAUGUGCAGCAU